GACGUAGGGCGCGAGCGUUGUCCGGAUUUAUUGGGCGUAAAGAGCUCGUAGGCGGUCUGUCGCGUCGAAUGUGAAAACCCGGGGCUCAACUCCGGGCUUGCAUUCGAUACGGGCAGGCUAGAGUUCGGUAGGGGAGACUGGAAUUCCUGGUGUAGCGGUGAAAUGCGCAGAUAUCAGGAGGAACACCGGUGGCGAAGGCGGGUCUCUGGGCCGAUACUGACGCUGAGGAGCGAAAGCGUGGGGAGCAAACAGG
rnacentral:rRNA from 1 species